rnacentral:rRNA from 1 species
AGUCGAACGGCAGCACGGGAGCAAUCCUGGUGGCGAGUGGCGAACGGGUGAGUAAUGUAUCGGAACGUACCUUUCAGUGGGGGAUAACGUAGCGAAAGUUACGCUAAUACCGCAUAUUCUGUGAGCAGGAAAGCAGGGGAUCGCAAGACCUUGCGCUGAUUGAGCGGCCGAUAUCAGAUUAGCUAGUUGGUGAGGUAAAGGCUCACCAAGGCGACGAUCUGUAGCGGGUCUGAGAGGAUGAUCCGCCACACUGGAACUGAGACACGGUCCAGACUCCUACGGGAGGCAGCAGUGGGGAAUUUUGGACAAUGGGGGCAACCCUGAUCCAGCCAUGCCGCGUGAGUGAAGAAGGCCUUCGGGUUGUAAAGCUCUUUCAGCCGGGAAGAAAACGCAUGGGUUAAUACCCUGUGUGGAUGACGGUACCGGAAUAAGAAGCACCGGCUAACUACGUGCCAGCAGCCGCGGUAAU